ensembl:lncRNA CA5BP1 carbonic anhydrase 5B pseudogene 1
GGCCAGGACUGGCCAGAAAAGAGAGGUGUGGAAUGCAUGCAUCCACUCUGGGAGAGCGUGGACCUGGUUCCUGGGGGCGAUCGCCAGUCACCCAUCAACAUUCGGUGGAGGGACAGUGUUUAUGAUCCCGGCUUAAAACCACUGACCAUCUCUUAUGACCCAGCCACCUGCCUCCACGUCUGGAAUAAUGGGUACUCUUUCCUCGUGGAAUUUGAAGAUUCUACAGAUAAAUCAGCUGCACUUAGUGCAUUGGAACGCAGUCAAAUUUGAAAACUUUGAGGAUGCAGCACUGGAAGAAAAUGGUUUGGCUGUGAUAGGAGUAUUUUUAAAGGAAAAUUCUCAGUCUCCCUUGAAGAAGUGAAGCCUCCUUCUUUAUGCACUGGCCACUGUCUAAUACCUCCCAGCAAUACUCAGAGGAGACUACCUGCUGGAACCUCACUAGAAUUGAGAGAUCAAAUGGUUUUGGCUGUUUUCCCACUGGAGAAUAUAAAAAAUACACAGUUAAUUUUAGAAACAAAGGCUGGGCAUGAUUCCAUCCUAAGCAGCAAUUCUUCAGGUAGCUGCCCAGAAGGGCCUGGAGCUCCUCUGGACCACUGCUGAUCUCCAGAUACUCCCUGAGAACCGUCACCUCGGCGUCCAAUUCCUGAGUGGUUUUCACUACUAAAUAAUGACUCAGUGACCCAGUCUCUUGGCCAGGACGCUGUUAUGGAAUUUGGGUCGUUUGGCACUUCCUGCCUGGUGCCCACCUGUCUAGAUUACUGGACCCAAGUAGGUCCAGUAUCUCCCUGGUCCAGCCCUGUCUUGAGUCCAUCACCUUUAUCAUUAAGAAGCAGCCAGUAGAGG